CUUCAGGAUUUAUCCGUCAGCUUGUUAUGCCUUGUUUGUCCAAGAAACAGUCAAGACCGAACGAGUCAGGAAUGACAGAAAUAGUACAUGAAGUCACAGUCACUCCACUUUAAAGCACAAGCAUUUGUGUCAUUUUCCUACCAAAUAAAUAAAUAUAUGUGCAUUUAUCGAGCAAAUAAGGAAAUGUCAGAGGAAAGGCAUUACAAGCAGGUUUUUGCAGAUGCCAGCUGAUUUUUGCCCACUCCUCCAAGUGAAUGUAAUACAGAUUCCCGCAAGAAUCAGUUCUUUCUACUCAGAAAAGCAAUCACCGGGACUGCACACACCCACAAACCCCUUGAACGCGACAGCACACAAGCCUUAGGAAAAUCCUGUAAACACUAGACUGAAGCUGAAAGACGAAACACAUUUGGGAAGCACACCACCGCUGGAGGGUGGAUGGGAUGGACGGCAGCCACGGCCGGGUCACUAUAGACGGAGGAGCACGUCAGAUGGAAACUUUCCACUUGGAAAUAGAACCAGCCAGAGUUCCAUUUGAAACCCAAUGGCAUCACGGUUCAUGGUGGAAACCAGUUGGAUCUGUGGAUAAAUGACCUGCACUGCCCUGGGUAGGGCUAGAGGAGGAGAACCAAUCUUUUUUAUCCUAUUAGCAGAUCUAUAACUAAAACCACAACACUAACAAUGUGCCAAAACACUGUUUUUAUUAGCUGUAUUCUCACCUUGUUUUAUCAUUCAGGGGAGAUUAGUUCUAUUUGAAAGACUAUCUUAAUCCCCUCACAGCAGCAGGAUUAAAGUCUGGUGAAUUCAAACAGAAGGAACAUAUGAUUUUUUUGUUCAAUACCUUUUACUUCAUGUUAGAAUGUCUGAAUCCAAGAAGCAAAACUAUAAUGCCUAAUAUAGAUAAAGCCUUUCCUGGCUUUUGCAGUUUCAUAGAGAUCGCUGCAGUUUUCACACUUUAACAUUAAAUUACCUGCUAUUUUAUCAAAAAUACUAAUAUACCUUUCAGACAUACCUGGUACUUUCCAUGUUAUUUUUGGUAUUUAUGAAGCCAGCUACAUGGACUUCACAAGCAAGUGACCUUUAAAAAUGAAUCAAGAUAUGUAACAUUUACAUCCUACGUAUUUUACAGCAGGAGAAAAGUUGGCUUCAGCUUCUCCCCUCUCCCUGCACCCCCACUGCCCUUUCCCCACCUCCCCCUCCCAAAUAAGAAUUGUUUCUCUCAAGCCCAUCCCUCUCCAGAAAAAUCUGACCUACGAAUGGCUUUCUCAUAACUCAGCAGACUAGUUUAGUCCUCAGAUGGAUUUAUCAUUAACCACAUAAGCACAUGUUGUCCAUUCUGUUCGACCUAAUGAACGUGCUACAAAUAAAAUAUCUGUAAAAGAAGGUUUCACCGUACUUAUCCAAGCUGUUGCUGCAAGUCCUUGUAACUCCCAAACCCACUUAUGUUAGAAACAUUAAUCACUUGAUUAUAAUUCAAAGCAUCAGCUCUCUACAGCUGAAACUCCCUAGCACUUGACUUUGGCUAGACCUCUAACCUCAACUUACCACUUUCAGGCGUACUCCACAUUUUCUUCUCCAGUCUGUCGCUAAUGUAGAAAAGACGUGGGAAAUCACUUUUAAAAGGUAUUUUUAACCUAGGAGCAUCUCAUUAAAAUAAGAACUAGGUAUGGAAGCUCUAAAGCAAAACCUUUCCCACUUUACUUGGUGUAGCAAUCUGAAAAUACCAGAGGUGCAUUUCACCACAGCUCAUGUCAUUUAAAACCCAAGCAAUGUAAAGAAAAAGUAAUAUAUAUAUAUAUAUAUAUAUAUAGAGAGAGAGAGAGAGAGAGAGAGAAAGAGAUAGAUAGAUAGAUAGAUUUUUUUUUAGAAAAGCCACCA